CUAUAAAAAGUUGUGUGCAGAGAUUAUAUUAAGAUUGAAUAAUGCGUCAAAACUGCGAGUCUACUAAAUUCAUCUAAAUAGAUAUGAAAUUCUUAAGAACACAACCCUCACUUUUCUUAUUUUAGAGUUAUUGCCCUUUGCUAUUUUGUAUCUUGUAACUUUUCCGGGCUAUAAAUCUGAAAUUAUAUCUGUAAAAAAACAUUUAGUGUACCUAGCAAUUCCUCCUUUUGUCACAAUACUUUCAAUGUGAUUAAUUCAAACGAUACUACAUGUAUGUUAUUGUCUGCUGCAAACCCGUCACAGGCAAACGUGAGUUAAAACUAAAUUUAAAACGACAACCUUUACUUACACCUUUCCUUUUAAGUUCUGUAUCCAUCAAUUAUUACAUUUUAUUUUUCAGGGAAUAUCAAUUCAACGAAUAGGCCUGAAAAUUGAUGUUUCGAGCAGCAGAUUUAUAAAAGAAGAUCAUUUAUUGCAUUGGCCUAUUGACUUUUUCACAUGUUCGCUAUGCGUUAAUUAUGACAUAAAUACACGCGUGUUUUACCAUCUACUUAUUAAGCAUAAGAGUUAUAUUAUUUCCUAAACUAUGUUUGUCUUAGCAAGAGCCGGUUAUUGGGCGUAUCUUAAAUUGUACACCUAUCUGUCGUAUUAUCCGAUUAGAAGAUGAUAACCCGAGCAUACAUUUUACGUACGACGCUUUCGUGUGCCACAAUCAAGACGAUCCGGAGGACAAACGGUUCGUACAAGACCUUAUUGAGGAGCUAGAAGGUAGAAGAGGACUUCGACUCUACGUCCCAGGUCGCGAUGAUCUAUCGGAUGCAUCCCAACACAUCAGCAAUGCUGGCGAAAUUGAGGAAAGUUGCCGAAGAGUGAUAAUAGUCAUUUCAAGGUCAUUUCUUCAAAGCAGAUUUUUCGGAUUCCAAGAACGAUUUUCACAAGCAUUAACGACAGACGACAGGCGUGAACGAUGGAUUGCAGUUUGCCGAGAAAGAUGUGCCGACGUCCCUGAUACACUUAAUGAUUGUAAUACUCUCGACUUUAACGACAUGAAUGACAUCCACUGGGUCCUCUUAACGUCAUCCAUCAAUGCACCGAUCACACGAACAACGCAUAUAAGAAGUUUCUCUCGCAGGGGAGUUCUAACUUUUCCGUAUCCAGCCGGACCAAAUGAAAACACAGCUCCAAAAGAGGUAACGCCUUCCCAAAAUGUUCAGCCUCUUGCAGAAAACACAGCUACAAAAGAGGUAAUGCCUCCCCAAAAUGUUCAGCCUCAUGCAGAAAGCACAGCCCAAAAAGAGGUAACGCCUCCCCAAAAUGUUCAGCCUCAUGCAGAAAACACAGCUCCAAAAGAGGUAACGCCUCCCCAAAAUGUUAAGCCUCAUGCAGAAAAUACCGGGACGCAACGUCAAGUCGAAGGAAAUGAAAACACAGCACCCAGAUAUGUAACGCCUUCUCAAAAUGUUCAGCCUUCUGCAGUCCAUAUUAGUUCACGCGCUUCAAUUCCACAAGAACAUUCGACGUAUCAAUGGCCAGCCGACGCAAAUGAAAACACCGAGGUACCGACUUCUCGAAAUGUUCAGCCUCCUGCCGAUCCUAAUGGAUCCGUUUCCAACUCCUCUACAUAAUCCCAAGAUUCAAUGGCCAGCCGGCGCAAAUGAAAACACAGCUCCCACAGAGAUAACGCCUUCUCAAAAUUAUUAGACUCCAGCAGAUCAGAAAUGAUCACCGGCUUCAAUUUCCGCAGAACAUGCAGGGACUCACUUGCAAUCCGGCAAAAAUGAAAUACACAGCUCCAAAAGAGGUAACGGAGAUGAAAACACAGCUCCCAAAAGAAGUAAUGCCUUCUCGAAAUGUUCAGCUUUCUGCAGACCCUAUUAUAUCACGCGCUUCAAUUCCACAAGAACAUCGUUCGUAUCAAUGGUAAGCCGACGUAAAUAAAAACCGCGAGGCACCGACUG